GGGUAUUUUUUCUACAGAGUAUCUUGUGAUUAAGUAGAUUAUCAUGUAGAUUUAUUGACGCGUGCUUGAUAAUUUCUGAUCAUGAUAUUUGCUGGAUACAAUAAAGCUAUCAGAAUUUUUGAGGUUCAUCGCCCAGGGAGAGAUUUUGAACAACACUCGACUGUUUUAGGAAACAAAGAAGGCCAAUCAGGUAUUAUAUCUUCUAUUGCUUUUUCCCCCACUUCUUCUGGUAUGCUGGCUGUGGGCUCCUACAACCAGACUACUGCUAUAUACAGAGAAGACAAUAUGGAACUGCUGUAUGUGUUGCAUGGCCAAGAAGGUGGGGUU